UGUCAUUAUUCAAUAAAAAUAAAAUUAAAAUUAAUCUUCAAAUUUGUCUUUUAAAAGCAUUUUUACAUAAAUUAAAGCCUUAUGUCUAUGAAUAUAGGCGUUUACAUUAUUUCCCAUUUAUCGCUAGCUUGUUUCAUUCAUUCGCUAUAGAUGCAAAAAAGAUUUUAAUUGUCCGAUUCAUGUGUCGUGCACACCUAAGAUCCGCUGUGUAAACACACUCUGAUUGGACGUGCUACACGAGGCUCUAUAUAGUGGAUAUAAAUAUAAUAAUGUACAAUAAUUAGUAAUUUUCUUGACCUUUUGAAUCCACUCUUAAUAUUUAUAUAUAUAUAUAUAUUUAUAUACUUUAUAUACUUUUACUUUUUUAUAUACUUUAUAUAUAUUUAUAAUAUAUUUAUAUACAAAGAGGUCACACGAAGGAACUAGGAUUGUUUACUUAGUAGUAAAUCUUAAUUAGGGGACUGGACUUCAAAACACACAUCUACAUGGGUAACCUAACAAAGAGUCUGCUUAUUUGGAGAAAAAUCUGAAUCACGUGGCUGAACUAGAGGCAACCUUUUUUCUCGUGUACCGAGUUACUUGAAUAGAAAUCUGAUUUUGUAAGCUGGACUAAGAUUACACACCUAAACGAGCGACCUUUUUAGCUACACAGAACACAAAACACGAGAUUUCAUAGCCAGUGUAAAGUGAUUUAGUUGUACACAAUUAUAGGCUUGCAUGGGUUUCAAAGCAAAAUGUAUUGUCUGCUUCAUUGUAUGGACACAAUUUAAGUAUCUAGCGGCUCAAUGUCCUGGCGGUUGGUUUGGCAGCAAGUGUCAGUAUAUGUGCCACUGUGACAAAAAUUCACAAUGCAAUAAGGAUGGUAGCUGUCCAACAAAAUGUAACACUGGUUGGUUUGGUGGAGGAUGCCAAUAUGGUAAGACUUAGUUACCAAUGCUUGCUACAUAUAUUGUAUUAUAUUAAAUUAUAGGGUUUGUAAAAAAAAUGAAUACACACUUUAAACUGUCAU
rnacentral:sRNA from 1 species